AGUAUUAUAACUGUGCAAAGGUAGCAUAAUCAUUAGGUUUUUAAUUGGGAUCUUGUAUGAAUGGUUGGACAAAAGAGAUUCUGUCUUUAUAUUAUUAUUGAAUUUAACUUUUAAGUGAGAAGGCUUAAAUAUUCUAAGGGGACGAUAAGACCCUAUAAAACUUUAUAUUGUAGUUAAAUUUAAUUGAAUUUUAUAAUAAAAGUUUUAUUUAACUAUUUAUUAUAUUGGGGAGAUAAAAGUAUAAUUUAUAUUAACUGCUGAAAGUUGAGAACAAAUUAUUAUUGUGUAAUAUGAUAGAUCCUAUAUUUAGAUUGAAAGAUUAAGUUACUUUAGGGAUAACAGCGUUAUUUUUUUUGAGAGUUCUUAUCGAGAAAAAAGUUUGCGACCUCGAUGUUGAAUUAAAAUAUCUAUAUAGUGCAGGAAUUAUAUGAGAGGGUCUGUUCGA
rnacentral:rRNA from 1 species